UGUGAUUGCAGCAAGGACUGUCUCUUGUGA
rnacentral:piRNA from 1 species